GACGAACGCUGGCGGCGUGCUUAACACAUGCAAGUCGAACGGAAAGGCCCUGCUUUUGUGGGGUGCUCGAGUGGCGAACGGGUGAGUAACACGUGAGUAACCUGCCCUUUACUUUGGGAUAACUUCAGGAAGCUGGGGCUAAUACCGGAUAGGAGCUCCUGCUGCAUGGUGGGGGUUGGAAAGUUUCGGCGGUUGGGGAUGGACUCGCGGCUUAUCAGCUUGUUGGUGGGGUAGUGGCUUACCAAGGCUUUGACGGGUAGCCGGCCUGAGAGGGUGACCGGCCACAUUGGGACUGAGAUACGGCCCAGACUCCUACGGGAGGCAGCAGUGGGGAAUAUUGCACAAUGGGCGGAAGCCUGAUGCAGCAACGCCGCGUGCGGGAUGACGGCCUUCGGGUUGUAAACCGCUUUCGCCUGUGACGAAGCGUGAGUGACGGUAAUGGGUAAAGAAGCACCGGCUAACUACGU
rnacentral:rRNA from 1 species